rnacentral:lncRNA from 1 species
UUUUUUUUUUUUAUUAAUAAAAGACAUAUGUGACACACCACUCAGAGCUUUCAGUGGGGAGAAAACGAGUUUCCCCCACUAGGUUAAUAGAAUUCCACCCAGAGGCAGACAGUUAGCAAACCACCUUCUCGGGCUGUGGCUGGGAAUCGCGCUACACUUGACAGCCCUUUCCAUGGGCCUCCCCGGCCCGCCUGCCCUCGGCCCCGAAGUCAGGGGAGACAGGGGCCAUUUCAGCUGCUCGCGCUCGCUUGCCUUCCCGUCCCUGCCGGAGUCAGCAGACCCUGACUUCUGGAGAAGCGUUGCUGCGAUGUGUCAGCUGCUCGGGGAGAGGCUGGAGUGAUGGAUUCCAAGAGCUGUCAGGAGAAAGGGUUUACGACUAUGAGCAAUCUGAUGCUAGUCCCGAUGUCUUGGUUAUCUCUUGUGUAUCCAGCACCCAAGGGAAGGAGCAUCCCAUGGCUACAACUCUCAAGCAUCGAAAUGGAACCUGUGAGAGUUCUUCACCCCACAGGGAACUCCUUCCACCAAACUUAGGGGAGCGAGAAAGGGGUUGUAAGGACUUGCCUUUGUAUCUCCCCAGCCCCUGCACAGGGCUGGAUUUGCAUAUGUUAAUAUGGAGAACUGCAACUAUUUAAUGAGAAGCAGUGGGCCACGUGGGUGAGCAGAAUUCCUUAGAGUAUUUUUUUCAGAUGUCUUAAUUCACUCUCUCUUUGUUGUAUUUCAGCAGAUCCAGGUAUUUGCACUGAGUUGGUCCUGGUCCCCACUCCUGUCCCCCAAAUCUCUGAAACCACAGAUCUCAUUAGAUGCCAGGCUCAGCCUUGUGUUUGGAGGGUGAUGGUGGGCGGAGUGCUCUGCCUACCUGGAAGCAAUGCCAGGAUGGCUGGAGGUAGCCUACUCCAGGCCAAGGAGCCCCAGCCCAGAGGUUGGGCGGGGACGUGCCUGAGGGGGGUGGGGAGGAAAGGAUAGAAUUCCAAAGAGGAGAACCCUAGAUGGAGAGAGCCCUCUGGGCUUUCAGCCCUUCAUCUGGGUUCCACUAAAAACACAUUUUGCGUGUUUCUGUUGUUCUUAAGUCUGGGUUUAUUUCAAGGGGAAAGUUAUAAAGAGACAUCUCUCCCUUUAUUUCAACAGCAGCUUGUGCUUGGGUAGAUUCUCAUUUGUCUUGUCUGUCCUGCCUGGAGGUAAAAGGAGUAGGUUGGGGUGGGGGUCCCAAGAGGCCCCAGGAGACCAAGGCCUCAGGCUGUGCUUGCCUCCAGUGUGUUAGACCAGUAGGUCUGUCACAGGUUCUGACCUUCCAGCUGAUAGCAACACACACCGCCAGAUGAGAGACUUGGGGGGUUGAGAAUGAAAGGAAGGGACUUGGGGAAGCACAGAACAAGGAGAGGCCUGGUGAGGUGGCCCCACCUGGGAAACAUCCACAGACAGACAGGCAAGUGACCAUCCCCAUGGCUGUUUGAGAGCCUUCCUCUCUGAACCCAGGGCAGCAUCUGUCAGGUAGCCACCCAAGUGAGGCAGGGUUUUGCCCAGGUCGGAAGCCAGAGGUAGCAUCCAGUCUCCCUAAGAAUUCAGGUCCCAAUCCAGUCUGAGAAUCCCGAAGAGGACCCAGAGCCCUUGAAUCAGUCCAUACCUCAGAGACACAAAGAAGAAAUGUCAGCGCUUGAAAGGCCCUUAGCCGUGUAACCCACUGCCCUCAUUUCACAGAUGAGGAAACAGGCCCAGGGAGGGAAAGCUCCUUGCCUAGGGCACACAGUGGGUCAGCGAUGGGCUGGUCCUGCAGCCCGGGCCUCAGUGUUCUCUGCACUUUUCUACUUUUCCACCCUGCUGCUUACAAGGGUAGGCAAAUGGCCACGUCUCCACGGAGGGAUCCAAGGGUGCUAAUAAACAUGCCCACUCAUGGACUCACACGCAUACGUGCACAGAACGUGUACACUGGCCCUCGGAUCCCAUCAGCUGAGCUUGCCAGGGCUCCCCCAGAUAUAACCUGGGUCUCUCCUCCAGGGUCAUCUUGGGCAUUCAGGCUCCAGGCAGAUGUAGGACUCAGGACACCAUGGUGGAUGGUCCUGUCUGCACAGAGCUGGUGCCAGACACAAAGAGAACUUGAGGCCCAGCACCCAGGCCCUGGCCUUCACCCACCAGCGAGAAAUUCUUGCAGAGCCCUCUCUUGCUCUGAGACGGGCCUCUGCAAUGACUCAAGUCGACUUGCUUAAGAAGGACUUGAUUGCCACCUGGUGGCCAUAUCUGACAUCUCACCCCAGUAUCACAGUCCAUUCAUUUAUCAAAGAUGUAUUGAGCCCCUGCUGUGAGCCAGGGAAGAAAUAUUUACUCUUGUUGAAUGAAUGAACAUCCCCUACCCCCAAGAAGAGGUCAGUCCACUGUAGAAGACUGAUAUGCAAAGCAACAGUUACAAUACAGGCUGAUUAGUGUAAUUAUAGAGGUGAGCUUAGGAUACAAUGGAAGCUAAAAUAAAAGGGAGGGGGAGUGGGAGAGGGUGUUAGUCCAGCUUCUAUGUAAGGAGCCUAAGGAAGAUUCCACCAGGGGCGUGGGUUGACAUGCUUCCCGGGGUAUGCAUAAGCAAUCAAUAAUUACAUUCAUUUGUCUAAGAGUUUUCAUUUUACCAAAAGAUUGCACUUGCAUUUCCCAGUUCAUCCUCCCAGUAGCGCCAUGAAGUGUGUAUAAUUGUCCCCAUUUUACAAAGGAGGACACUGAGGCUUGGAGGAGGUAAGUGAUUUGCUCCAUGUCACUGUCUGGUAUUUGAUGACUAUAAUUCCCAAACUACUCCCAACUGAAUCAGACUCCCACGGGGAGGCGGGUGCACCAGGCGAGGGUUACAGAUGGAGGUCGACUGCCUCUGCCACAGGAGAGUUGGCAAGUUGGGGGUUUGGAUGGAUAAGCAGCUCUCUCCCAUCUCCCAGACAGUGGAGCACAGUUGAGCUCUGGAAGCAGCACAGUGAUGCGUGGUGAGCCUCAGCCGGCGCAAAUGCAAGCUGGAGGGUCCUGGGUUCAGUGGCUAUGUCACAGCCUCAUCACAGACCUGAAAAUGGUGGGCAUGAGAGGCAGACGUGUAAUUUCCUCUUUACUACCGCCAGUCAUGUGAUUACAGCCGAGCUCAGGAGGGCCGGGUGAGCAUUGCAGAAAGGCUGUAGCUAGAUAGGAUCCCUAGAGCCAGAGCAGGGUUGGGGAGUGCAACUCUAGGAAAAGCUUCAUUUUCCACACCCACUCCACUCCCAAACAUAAGCUGAAGGUCCCAGUGAACUCCGUUAAAGAAGAAUGAAAAGUCUGAUGCAGCUAUUUAAAAACAGGCAGGCGUCAAGUGGCCAAUGGCAGUCGAGUGCAGCCGGGGCAGCGCUCGGGAAAAUCAUCCACCACCGUCAGCCCUGGAGAGGCAGACCUGGGGUUCCCCGCAGAAGCGGGUGCGGGUCCAUGUAGGCUACCCCGUCAUCUUUGUGCCACGGAGCUAGUUCAUCACGGGGCCUUGCUGAUUCCUUCCCCAGCACGCCUCAACAAUCCCGCUGCUCUCCUGAGACCCAAGCCCUUUCACUCUUUGCUUAGAAGUCCAGCUUUGUUUCCAAACUGUUUUCCCUUUCUCUUCUCCCUACAGCCUCCCUUGACAGGGCAGCUUUAGUGUCCGUGCUUCCCAGAACCAGUGCUGCAUGCUCACCUGCUGGACUCCCCCAGGAUGUAUAGACAUCUCAUAAGAGUGGGGGCUGCCUCUGGGAAGGGACUGGAAAAAGGCUAAGGGGAAGGAGCUCGGGGGCUGGCAAGCCCGGAUGCGACAAAGCACCGAGGUGGGCUUGAAUAUGGAUUUUUCUCCCCAGAACAUCCCUGGGAAUCAUUUCUGUCAGAUGCUUCACUGGAUGUCCCUUGGUCUUUACAGCCAUCUAUCCUCCUUCUCCAACCCCCACCUCGAAUUGCAACUUGCUAUUUUAAUUAUAGUUUCUCUUGCCACACUUGGGUUGUUUUUUUUUUCUCUUCUCAGUCUUCUACCUCGCUUAGAUUUUAAUCCCUUCUUCCAGUGCAGAAAAUUCAUUAAGAUUUCUAGAUUCCUCCCAAUUUGCUUCCUUGAUGUUGAAUAAUUCUUAGUCUAUGUAUGAUGCUGAUUGUUCAGAUGUUGAAUUAAGUUGCUAAGCAGUGGGGCCAGGAGGCCCUG